rnacentral:rRNA from 1 species
AGAGUUUGAUCCUGACUCAGAAUCAACGCUGGCGGCGUGCCUAACACAUGCAAGUCGCACGAGAAAGGGGAGCAAUCCCUGAGUAUAGUGGCGCACGGGUGAGUAACACGUGACUAACCUACCCUCGAGUGGGGAAUAACCUAGGGAAACCUGGGCUAAUACCGCAUAACACUUACGAGUCAAAGCAGCAAUGCGCUUGGGGAGGGGGUCGCGGCCGAUUAGCUAGUUGGCGGGGUAAUGGCCCACCAAGGCAAUGAUCGGUAUCCGGCCUGAGAGGGCGCACGGACACACUGGAACUGAAACACGGUCCAGACUCCUACGGGAGGCAGCAGUGGGGAAUUUUGCGCAAUGGGGGAAACCCUGACGCAGCAACGCCGCGUGGAGGAUGAAGUCUCUUGGGACGUAAACUCCUUUCGAUCGGGAAGAUAAUGACGGUACCGAUAGAAGAAGCCCCGGCUAACUUCGUGCCAGCAGCCGCGGUAAUACGAGGGGGGCAAGCGUUGUUCGGAAUUAUUGGGCGUAAAGGGUGCGUAGGCGGUCUGGUAAGUCUUGUGUGAAAUCUUCAGGCUCAACCUGAAGUCUGCAUGAGAAACUGCCGGGCUUGAGUAUGGGAGAGGUGAGUGGAAUUUCCGGUGUAGCGGUGAAAUGCGUAGAUAUCGGAAGGAACACCUGUGGCGAAAGCGGCUCACUGGACC